AGUAAGUCUUGUUAAGUAAAAAUGUGUCGUAUCAAUGUCAUUUCCAAUUACUUAUGAGGAAAAAAUUCAACUAACCGUAACUGAUGUAAUAACCAAAUAAUUAUGUAACCUAAUUGACCUUCAAAACUUAUAAUCAUGUACUAAAUAAGGUUCUAUAAAUACAUUAUGUAAUAGAAUCAUGUUCGUACCUAACAUUAAUAAGGAGUAUUCACUCCUACACUAACAAUAACUUUUUAAUUUAACUACUUUUUAUGUAAUGUAAUUUAGGUUGGUGGAACAAUAACUCUGAAAU
rnacentral:lncRNA from 1 species